rnacentral:misc_RNA from 1 species
CGCACAUUGCGCCCCUUGGUAUUCCAUGGGGCAUGCCUGUUCGAGCGUCAUUUGUACCCUCAAGCUUUGCUUGGUGUUGGGCGUUUGUCCUGUAUGGGACUCGCCUUAAAGUAAUUGGCAGCCGGCGUAUUGGCCUUGGAGCGCAGCACAAUUUGCGCUUUCAGUCAGUAUAUGUUGGCGUCCAUAAGACCUUUAUCACUUUUGACCUCGGAUCAGGUAGGGAUACCCGCUGAACUUAA